AGGUCCUGUAGUGUCUUCACGUGGGAGUGCAAAUCCCAAGAAGCGGGUAAUACCGCCGGGGCUUC
rnacentral:tRNA from 1 species